rnacentral:rRNA from 1 species
UGGGGAAUUUUGGACAAUGGGCGAAAGCCUGAUCCAGCAAUGCCGCGUGUGUGAAGAAGGCCUUCGGGUUGUAAAGCACUUUUGUCCGGAAAGAAAUCCUCUGGGUUAAUACCUCGGGGGGAUGACGGUACCGGAAGAAUAAGCACCGGCUAACUACGUGCCAGCAGCCGCGGUAAUACGUAGGGUGCAAGCGUUAAUCGGAAUUACUGGGCGUAAAGCGUGCGCAGGCGGUUUUGUAAGACGGAUGUGAAAUCCCCGGGCUUAACCUGGGAACUGCAUUCGUGACUGCAAGGCUAGAGUAUGGCAGAGGGGGGUAGAAUUCCACGUGUAGCAGUGAAAUGCGUAGAGAUGUGGAGGAAUACCGAUGGCGAAGGCAGCCCCCUGGGCCAAAUACUGACGCUCAUGCACGAAAGCGUGGGGAGCAAACAGGAUUAGAUACCCUGGUAGUCCACGCCCUAAAACGAUGUCAACUAGUUGUUGGGGAUUCAUUUCCUUAGUAACGUAGCUAACGCGUGAAGUUGACCGCCUGGGGAGUACGGUCGCAAGAUU